GACAGAGGGUGCAAACGUUGUUCGGAAUUACUGGGCGUAAAGCGCGUGUAGGCGGCUCGGAAAGUCGGAUGUGAAAGCCCUGGGCUUAACCUAGGAAGUGCAUUCGAAACUCCCGAGCUUGAGUUCUGGAGAGGAAGGCGGAAUUCUCGGUGUAGAGGUGAAAUUCGUAGAUAUCGAGAGGAACACCAGUGGCGAAGGCGGCUCACUGGCUCGAUACUGACGCUGAGGUGCGAAAGCGUGGGGAGCAAACAGG
rnacentral:rRNA from 1 species